CACGGGGGCAACCCUGGUGGCGAGCGGCGAACGGGUGAGUAAUACAUCGGAACAUGCCCAGUCGUGGGGGAUAACACUUCGAAAGAAGUGCUAAUACCGCAUACGUCCUGAGGGAGAAAGCGGGGGAUCGCAAGACCUCGCGCGAUUGGAGUGGCCGAUGUCAGAUUAGCUAGUUGGUGGGGUAAUGGCCUACCAAGGCGACGAUCUGUAGCUGGUCUGAGAGGACGACCAGCCACACUGGGACUGAGACACGGCCCAGACUCCUACGGGAGGCAGCAGUGGGGAAUUUUGGACAAUGGGGGCAACCCUGAUCCAGCCAUUCCGCGUGAGUGAAGAAGGCCUUCGGGUUGUAAAGCUCUUUCAGCAGGAACGAAACGGCGAGCUCUAACAUAGCUCGUUAAUGACGGUACCUGAAGAAGAAGCACCGGCUAACUACGUGCCAGCAGCCGCGGUAAUACGUAGGGUGCGAGCGUUAAUCGGAAUUACUGGGCGUAAAGCGUGCGCAGGCGGUUGUGUAAGACAGGUGUGAAAUCCCCGGGCUUAACCUGGGAACUGCGCUUGUGACUGCACGGCUAGAGUAUGGCAGAGGGGGGUGGAAUUCCACGUGUAGCAGUGAAAUGCGUAGAGAUGUGGAGGAACACCGAUGGCGAAGGCAGCCCCCUGGGCCAAUACUGACGCUCAUGCACGAAAGCGUGGGGAGCAACAGGAUUAGAUACCCUGGUAGUCCACGGCCUAAACGAUGUCGACUAGGUGUUCGGUGAGGAGACUCAUUGAGUACCGCAGCUAACGCGUGAAGUCGACCGCCUGGGGAGUACGGUCGCAAGAUUAAAACUCAAAGGAAUUGACGGGGACCCGCACAAGCGGUGGAUGAUGUGGAUUAAUUCGAUGCAACGCGAAAACCUUACCUACCCUUGACAUGUACGGAACCCUGCUGAGAGGUGGGGUGCUCGAAAGAGAGCCGUAACACAGUGCUGCAUGCUGUCGUCAGCUCGUGUCGUGAGAUGUUGGGUUAAGUCCCGCACGAGCGCACCCUGUCAUAGUGCUACAUUUAG
rnacentral:rRNA from 1 species